GACGAACGCUGGCGGCGUGCUUAACACAUGCAAGUCGAACGGAAAGGCCCUGCUUUUGUGGGGUGCUCGAGUGGCGAACGGGUGAGUAACACGUGAGUAACCUGCCCUUGACUUUGGGAUAACUUCAGGAAACUGGGGCUAAUACCGGAUAGGAGCUCCUGCUGCAUGGUGGGGGUUGGAAAGUUUCGGCGGUUGGGGAUGGACUCGCGGCUUAUCAGCUUGUUGGUGGGGUAGUGGCUUACCAAGGCUUUGACGGGUAGCCGGCCUGAGAGGGUGACCGGCCAAAUGGGGACUGAGAAACGGCCCAAGCUCCUAGGGGGGGGAGCAGUGGGGAAUAUUGCAAAAGGGGCGGAAGCCUGAUGCAGCAACGCCGGGUGGGGGAUGACGGCCUUCGGGUUGUAAACCGCUUUCGCCUGUGACGAAGCGUGAGUGACGGUAAUGGGUAAAGAAGCACCGGCUAACUAAGU
rnacentral:rRNA from 1 species